UAGGGAAUCUUCGGCAAUGGACGAAAGUCUGACCGAGCAACGCCGCGUGAGUGAAGAAGGUUUUCGGAUCGUAAAACUCUGUUGUUAGAGAAGAACAAGGACGUUAGUAACUGAACGUCCCCUGACGGUAUCUAACCAGAAAGCCACGGCUAACUACGUGCCAGCAGCCGCGGUAAUACGUAGGUGGCAAGCGUUGUCCGGAUUUAUUGGGCGUAAAGCGAGCGCAGUCGGUUUCUUAAGUCUGAUGUGAAAGCCCCCGGCUCAACCGGGGAGGGUCAUUGGAAACUGGGAGACUUGAGUGCAGAAGAGGAGAGUGGAAUUCCAUGUGUAGCGGUGAAAUGCGUAGAUAUAUGGAGGAACACCAGUGGCGAAGGCGGCUCUCUGGUCUGUAACUGACGCUGAGGCUCGAAAGCGUGGGGAGCAAACAGG
rnacentral:rRNA from 1 species